CUCUGAGUCACUGAGCUUUUUUAUUUUUAUUUUUUGCCUUUCUGGCUUGCCUGCCUCCCACUACAGUCAGUGUUGUGCACCGCUCUGUUGCCAAUGUAGGGGAUCUUCUGAGCUUGGGGGCUGUGCUGCAAAACUCUGAGCAUGCCUCUGUGAUGGAAAGAGGCUGGGAGGAGGGAAGGGAUGCCCGGGAAGGGAAAGGAGAGAGAAAGGAGGGCCCGAGGAGAAAGGGAGAGAAACAUCUCGCUGACGUCAAAGAAGACCGCAUUCUACAGGAAGGACCAUGUUGCAGCCUGGCUGUUUUCACGGGGCAAAGGUGAUUUUCCAGGAAGCUGGCAGCCCCUUUCUCGACUUGAAAUGUGGAAUGAGUCCUGGGGAGAGGGCUGAGUUGGCAAAGUGCUGCUCUCACAAGCUUGAGAGCCUGAGUUCAGGAACCCAGAACCGACAUUUAAAAAGAAACCAACAACAAAAAAAUCUGUCAAGAUGGGUCAGUGAAUGAAGACAAUUGCCGCCGAGCCUGCAAACCUAAGUAAGCAUAAGCCUCACACACGGUGGGAUGAGAGAAACGACUCCUAAAAGAUGACCUCUGUUCUCCUGUGCGCACAUUUGCCGCCCCAAUUAAAAAAAAAUAAAUUAAAAUUUAAAAACAAUUCUUCCAGGUAAACUUUAUAAAUAUCCCAAAGUAGCA